GCCACGUGGAGCGCCCGUCCCCGCGGGUACCGGCGGUGCGGUGCGGUGCGGUUCCGCCGUGCGCUGCGGGAAUGAGGGCGGCCGUGGGGGGCGGAGAGCUCCGCUGUGCUGCGUCAAUCAGAUAGAGAGCAGGACGCGAAAUGGCCGCCGGGAGAGCCGAAGUGGUACGUCGCCGGGGCUCGCUGAGAGUAAUCUGAGGAGCAGAAGAUCCUACUGUGAUAAUAAAGAUCAGUGCAAGCCA